rnacentral:misc_RNA from 1 species
GAAAUGCGAUAAGUAGUGUGAAUUGCAGAAUUCAGUGAAUCAUCGAAUCUUUGAACGCACAUUGCGCCCUUUGGUAUUCCGAAGGGCAUACCUGUUCGAGCGUCAUUUCACCUCUCAAGCACAGCUUGGUAUUGGGCGUCUGUCGUUGCAUGCAACGACUCGUCUUAAAGCAAUCGGCUGCCGGCAUAUGGGUCGGGAUGCGCACAGUAGAAUCGUGCUUCGUCUCGGCGUAUUUUUGUUUGUGCAGGUUGUGGUAGAAUGCUCGUUUUGUACCGUUUGACCUCGGAUCAGGUAGGAAUACCCGCUGAACUUAA